rnacentral:rRNA from 1 species
AGAGUUUGAUCCUGGCUCAGAACGAACGCUGGCGGCGUGCCUAACACAUGCAAGUCGAGCGAGAAAGUCCCUUCGGGGGCGAGUAGAGCGGCGGACGGGUGAGUAAGACGUGGAUAAUCUUCCCUUGAGCUUGGGAUAACCCCGCGAAAGUGGGGCUAAUACCGGAUAAGACCACAUGGCACAUGCCAUGCGGUAGAAGGUGGCUUGUAUUUAUAUGAGCUAUCACUUAAGGAUGAGUCCAUGGCCUAUCAGCUUGUUGGUGAGGUAAGAGCUUACCAAGGCUAUGACGGGUAGCUAGUCUGAGAGGACGACUAGCCACACUGGGACUGAGACACGGCCCAGACUCCUACAGGAGGCAGCAGUGGGGAAUAUUGGGCAAUGGGCGAAAGCCUGACCCAGCGACGCCGCGUGGGUGAUGAAGGCCUUCGGGUUGUAAAACCCUUUCGUGCGGAAAGAACAGUCCUGAAGUGAAUAACUUCAGGAUUUGACGGUACCGCAGGAAGAAGCACCGGCUAACUCCGUGCCAGCAGCCGCGGUAAUACGGAGGGUGCAAGCGUUGUUCGGAAUUAUUGGGCGUAAAGGGCGCGUAGGCGGUUGUGAUAGUCAGAUGUGAAAUCCUCCGGCUCAACUGGAGAACUGCAUCUGAAACUUCAUAACUCGAGUACAGGAGAGGGAAACGGAAUUCCCGGUGUAGAGGUGAAAUUCGUAGAUAUCGGGAGGAACACCAGUGGCGAAAGGCGGUUUCCUGGCCUGAUACUGACGCUGAGGCGCGAAAGCGUGGGGAGCAAACAGGAUUAGAUACCCUGUAGUCCACGCGGUAAACGGUGAGCACUAGAUGUGGGAGUGUAAUACCUUCUGUGCCGAAGCUAACGCGUUAAGUGUCCGCCUGGGAAGUACGGCCGCAAGGUGAAACUCAAAGGAAUUGACGG